AGUGAACGCUGGCGGUAGGCCUAACACAUGCAAGUCGAACGGCAGCACAGUCAGAGCUUGCUCUUACGGGUGGCGAGUGGCGGACGGGUGAGGAAUACCUCGGAAUCUACUUUUUCGUGGGGGAUAACGUAGGGAAACUUACGCUAAUACCGCAUACGACCUACGGGUGAAAGCAGGGGAUCUUCGGACCUUGCGCGAUUGAAUGAGCCGAUGUCGGAUCAGCUAGUUGGCGGGGUAAAGGCGCACCAAGGCGACGAUCCGUAGCUGGUCUGAGAGGAUGAUCAGCCACACUGGAACUGAGACACGGUCCAGACUCCUACGGGAGGCAGCAGUGGGGAAUAUUGGACAAUGGGCGCAAGCCUGAUCCAGCCAUACCGCGUGGGUGAAGAAGGCCUUCGGGUUGUAAAGCCCUUUUGUUGGGAAAGAAAAGCAGCAGGUUAAUACCCCGCUGUUCUGACGGUACCCAAAGAAUAAGCACCGGCUAACUUCGUG
rnacentral:rRNA from 1 species